AAUUUGAAUAUGCUUACCGUAGACAGUAGGUGCCCUGCAAGGCUUAAUUUCCUACCGAGGUGUUAUGAUAGAACGUCAACAUGCUGCUAGUGUACUAGUGGAAUGAUGAUUCAUCAGGCCUUCGUGAUUCUACGGAGGCUUUUUUAAUG
rnacentral:sRNA from 1 species